rnacentral:rRNA from 1 species
ACUUAAAUUGAAGAGUUUGAUCAUGGCUCAGAUUGAACGCUGGCGGCAGGCCUAACACAUGCAAGUCGAGCGGUAGCACAGAGAGCUUGCUCUCGGGUGACGAGCGGCGGACGGGUGAGUAAUGUCUGGGAAACUGCCUGAUGGAGGGGAUAACUAC